UACGAGGGGGGCGAGCGUUGUUCGGAAUUAUUGGGCGUAAAGGGUGCGUAGGCGGUUUGGUAAGUCUGAUGUGAAAUCUAUGGGCUCAACUCAUAGUCUGCAUCGGAAACUGCCGGGCUUGAGUGUGGGAGAGGUGAGUGGAAUUCCUGGUGUAGCGGUGAAAUGCGCAGAUAUCAGGAGGAACGCCGGUGGCGAAGGCGGGUCUCUGGGGCCGUAACUGACGCUGAGGAGCGAAAGCAUGGGGAGCGAACAGG
rnacentral:rRNA from 1 species